rnacentral:lncRNA from 1 species
CUUGUUUCAAUUGUUGUUUUCUUGGUUUCAUUUGUUGAUUCCAAUACUAAGUUGCAAGCUAGUGACCAUUUACUAGAUUGUAAAUUAGUUUUGAACCCAUUUUUUGUGUUAACUUUUCUUCGUGUGCUUUAAUUCUUUUGAGUCAUUGUAAUACGUCCUUGUGUUUUACUUACUCUUUGUAGUCAUUGUCAUCGUUGGAAUCACCUCUCAACACCUCUCGCCAUACAAGCAAGCUUGCAACACUUGUGAGAUUGAGUGUGAGG